GAUGAACGCUAGCGGCAGGCUUAACACAUGCAAGUCGAGGGGCAGCAUGAGACGGAGAUUCGUCAAAGUCUUGAUGGCGACCGGCGCAAGGGUGCGUAACGCGUGAGCAACUUGCCCGUUUCUGGGGAAUAACCGGUGGAAACGCCGACUAAUACCCCAUGGUAUUGACUUUGGGCAUCCUUAGUCAAUUAAAGAAUUUCGGAAACGGAUAGGCUCGCGUGACAUUAGCUAGAUGGCGGGGUAACGGCCCACCAUGGCGACGAUGUCUAGGGGUUCUGAGAGGAAGGUCCCCCACACUGGAACUGAGACACGGUCCAGACUCCUACGGGAGGCAGCAGUGAGGAAUAUUGGUCAAUGGUCGAGAGACUGAACCAGCCAUGCCGCGUGAAGGUGACGGCCCUAUGGGUCUUAAACUCUUUUGUAAAGGGAGCAAUAAGUCUCACGUGUGGGAUGAUGAGAGUACCUUACGAAUAAGCAUCGGCUAACUCCGUGCCAGCA
rnacentral:rRNA from 1 species